UACAGAGGGGGCAAGCGUUGUUCGGAUUUAUUGGGUGUAAAGGGUGCGUAGGUGGUCGAGCAAGUCGAAUGUGGAAUCUCCCGGCUCAACUGGGAGCUUACAUCCGAAACUACACGGCUUGAGGGUAGGGGAAGAAACUGGAAUUCUCGGUGUAGCGGUGAAAUGCGUAGAUAUCGAGAAGAACACCAGUGGCGAAGGCGGGUUUCUACUCUACAUCUGACACUGAGGCACGAAAGCUAGGGUAGCAAACGGG
rnacentral:misc_RNA from 1 species